AAAAAAAAAUUCCUUUCCCGAUUCAUUUUUUCCUCGACUCUCUCUCUCUUCUCCUUGUUUUCUCCGAUGGCGAAAUUGAGAGCAAAUCGUGUUGUUCUUCAUAAUCCGGCGUCUAGAUCAUCAAAUUGGAAGAGAAAGGCGAAACAAAGUCGUAACCAUUCAUCCGUGAUGAUCAGCUCCACCGUCGGUGGUCACCAACAGAAGUUCGGUGGACCUAAUCAGUGCGUUCGGCAAAUCAAAUCGGAUAGUUAGGCGAUUCCAUGCUCCAAUCGCUUGAUCACGGAAGAAACAAUUGACGAUUAUGUGGAAAAUGUAAGAGAAGCUCUUUGCUACAAGGUGUGCUGAUGAUUUAGCAAAGCAUUUCAAAGAGAGUGUACUGCUUAAGUUGCCAAAGAAUUAUCAGUCUAACUAAGCUCUGUUACUCUUUUAGUUCCCUAGUUAAUGGAAAGAUAGACUCGUGGUUAUUUCUUGUUGAUCUUUUAGGCAAUUUACUACCACUACGAAACUAAAGUAGCUGCCCUCCAUGAAUUUACUACCCCGUUGACAGAAGCAUUUGUUGCAAUAUUUUUUAUUAAAAGCAAUAUACAUUUGCAUGUGUUUACAUUUUAAAAACGUGAUCUGAACUCACUUCAAACCACUUAGGAACCGCUGACAUUGAUGAAAUGCCCAUGAAUUAAUCUUGUAGCUAGCAAUUGUUGUUUGACCUUUCAUCUGCCAUAUGCAAGCUUCCAAUCCUUUGUUUUAAGUUUAACAAUU